rnacentral:rRNA from 1 species
CCUACGGGAGGCAGCAGUAGGGAAUCUUCCGCAAUGGACGAAAGUCUGACGGAGCAACGCCGCGUGAACGAUGAAGGCCUUCGGGUCGUAAAGUUCUGUUGUUAGGGAAGAACAAGUGCUAGUUGAAUAAGCUGGCACCUUGACGGUACCUAACCAGAAAGCCACGGCUAACUACGCGCCAGCAGCCGCGGUAAUACGUAGGUGGCAAGCGUUGUCCGGAAUUAUUGGGCGUAAAGCGCGCGCAGGCGGUUUCUUAAGUCUGAUGUGAAAGCCCCCGGCUCAACCGGGGAGGGUCAUUGGAAACUGGGAAACUUGAGUGCAGAAGAGGAAAGUGGAAUUCCAAGUGUAGCGGUGAAAUGCGUAGAGAUUUGGAGGAACACCAGUGGCGAAGGCGACUUUCUGGUCUGUAACUGACGCUGAGGCGCGAAAGCGUAGGGGAGCAAACAGGAUUAGAUACCCUGGUAGUCCACGCUGUAAACGAUGAGUGCUAAGUGUUAGAGGGUUUCCGCCUUUAGUGCUGAAGUUAACGCAUUAAGCACUCCGCCUGGGGAUACGGUCGCAAGACUGAAACUCAAAUGAAUUGACCGG